GAGAGAGAGAAACAGAGAGAGUAUGGCGGAGAGUGCUGUUCGGUUCGUUAUACAAAAACUGAACGAUUUUCUAACGGAUCAAGCGUAUUUCCUAGUCGGAGUUGAUGAGAAGCUCAGAUCGCUUCGAACCAAACUUGAAUGGAUGCGUGCCUUCCUCAAAGACGUCGAUGCCGAGUACGGAGAGAAUGAAAGAGUGAAGCUUUGGGUGGACCAAAUAAGAGAAUUAGCUUACGAAGCUGAGGACGUCAUCGACUUCUACAUCUUUAACAUUCAACAGCAAGGAGGAGAGACAAGUGCUGGAGUGAUGCAAUACGUAAGAAGGUUUGCUGAUGGCGUCAAAAACAUAUCAUCCAUCCUCGAUGUUGGAAAGAAGAUCGGCGAAAUCGAAAGAAGGCUGGAUCAAAUUAGAGAGAACACAUCACAUUUCGGCCUCGGCAAUAUAUCAAUUGGUGGAGAAGCUUCAAGUUCUUCAUAUCAAAUCCAGAAGCAGAGGGUGAAAAGGGCUCCCAUCGUAGAGGAAGCUGAUGUGGUUGGCAUUGAAGACGAGACAAAUACACUGGUGGAGCGGUUGAUUGAAAGAGAUGCACGGCUUGCUGUCAUUUCAAUCACUGGUAUGGGAGGGAUAGGUAAAACUACUCUCGCAAAGAAAGUUUAUAAUAACAUCCAUGUAAAGAACAGUUUCGAUUUUCAAGCUUGGGUGUAUGUGUCUCAAGAAUAUCGAGUGCAAGAGCUUUUACUAACCAUCAUAAAUUGCUUUACAUUUCUCCCACGAGACGAAAUGGAGAGGAUGACUGAGGAAGACUUGCGGAGGAAACUCACCGACUACUUGAAAGACACGAGAUAUCUAGUGGUAAUUGAUGAUAUAUGGGCUAGAGAUGCUUGGGACUGUUUGGUUUCUGCUUUUCCAGAUGUGAAAAAGGGCAGCAGAGUGCUUCUCACGACUCGCAAUGAAGAUAUAGCUACGUAUGCAGAUGCACAGAGCACACCCCACCGAAUGCGUUUUCUUGAUGAAAGCGAGAGCUGGACACUGUUCUGUAAGAAAGCAUUCCCUGGACAUCUUGCUUCCACAUGCCUUCCAAAUCUGGAGGUGUUGGGGAGAAAGAUAGUUGGGAAAUGUGGAGGCUUACCUCUAGCAAUCGCAGUAUUAGGAGGCGUCCUAUCAAGGAAACAGAAGUCAGUGAAUGAGUGGGAGAAAGUGCUUAGUAGUGUUGAAUGGUGGCUAAAUGAAAGCGAGGAUAGUAUCUCGGCCAUAUUGGCCCUCAGCUACUAUGACUUGCCUGGUUACUUGAAGCCCUGCUUUCUCUAUUUUGGAGCUUUUCCUGAAGACUCUGAAAUCUCUGUAGGUGAAUUGAUUCGGAUGUGGGUAGCUGAAGGAUUUUUGCAGCCAAGAGGAGAAGAAAAAAUGGAGGAUAUCGCAGAGGAUUACCUAGAAGAGCUCAUCAGCAGAAGCCUGAUUCAGUUGGCAGAAUGGAAGAGCAAUGGAACAACUGAAAAAUGCCGUAUUCAUGAUCUUCUUCGCGACCUCUCAAUAUCAAAAGCUAAAGAGGAAAGAUUUCUGUCCGUGUAUGGUAACAUAGUGCCUUCAUCACCCAACACAGCACGCCGGCUUGCAAUUACUUCUGGUCAAGUCAGUAAGUCCGUCUCUCUUAACCGCUCCACUCUACACAUCCGAUCUUUGCUACACUUAAGUAGAGAGACAGAAAAGCUGGAGAAACCGCAAUUGAAAUUCCUCUGGGGAGCUUUUAAAUUGCUCAGAGUGAUGGAUUUCCGACACCUAAGCCUCUCUAGUCUCCCAGAUGAAAUUGGGUGUUUAAUCAACUUGAGGUACCUAUGUCUUAUGGACACCCAUUUAGAAAGGCUACCAUCCACCAUAAACUCCCUGUCCAAUUUACAAACCCUCGAUCUACGGGGUACAAAUAUCUACAUGCUACUAGAUGAUACGUGGAAGAUGGAACAGAUAAGGCACCUACUGGUGGAACGUAAAUGUCAGAUCAGCAACAGCAUGCCACUCCAUUUCUUAAGCAAUCUCCAAACUCUACCAUAUGUAGAGGGAGGCAGCUGGAUAGAAGAAGGGUUGGAGAAACUGACCAAUUUGAGAGAAUUGGGGAUAAGCGGACAUCUCAAUACAGCAUUAUCCCAUUCCGUUUGUAAAUUGGUCUGCCUCAGAUCAUUGUUUAUAAGGGCAGGUGUUGGAAACUCAAUUCCAGCUUUUUCAUCCUUCUCAAAUCAUCUCCAUCUAUAUAAGAUGGAUUUGAUUGGAUCCUUAGAGAAAUUACCAGACAUACAUGAAUUCCCACCUAACCUCACCAAGCUAUACUUGUGUGGGUCCAAAUUAGAGCAAGACCCGAUGGGAACGCUGGAGAAGCUGCCCUACCUUCGGAUUCUCACAUUACAAUGGGGAUCUUACAUAGGAAAAGAAAUUGUUUGCUCUGGUGGAGGGUUUCCGUUGCUCGACCAUUUGCGUAUUCAAUUGAAUGACUUCGAAGAGUGGAGAUUGGAGGAAGGAGCAAUGCCCAAUCUUAGAUUUUUACAGCUUAAUUUAUGCAGAAGAUUGAAUAUGCUUCCAGAUGGAAUUCGACAUCUCAACGACCUUCAAGAAUUGAGGUUGUUACGCAUGUCACAAGAAUUGAAAGAAAGGGUGAGAGAGAAUGAAGGCGAGGAUUGGUUUAAGAUCCAACACAUACCCUCAAUUAUCAUCAGACGCUGAAAGGCCGAGAGUUUCAAUCAAAUUGCUAUCCUUGGAUGUGUGCCUGACAGGAGAACUUAUGCUGAAAAUGGUGACAAGUUGUGACUGGAUAUAGGCUUCGUGAAGCUGGUUAUGGAGGAUUGAAUUUUUUCUCUUGUGGUUUUGGUAAUCUUUUCUAGUGUUACCAGUAGAGAGAGUGUGGUGGUGCUUGAAUGAAGUUUUCAUAUGGAGAUCCCAUUGGACAAUGAUUAAUGUAGUGUUUUGGAAGGUAACUUCUUAAUGUCAUUUUUGAUGCAUGUCAUGUUGGAUUUUAUCAUUUUGCAGGAUUAAAUCUUAAAUACCACUUAAGACAUGCAUCCAACGCCAUCUGAUGUCAGACUCCCUCAGCAAUUUACAGUAUCAUUCUACUACAAGGACGCAGAAAAUGCUUUUUAUAGACAGCACGCAUGUGUGGGCCUCACCAUGCAUGGAUCAUGGCCGCAAUUUCCCAGCCACGCAGAUAAUCCUAGUGACGCAAUCAAUGGAUCUUUUCCCUUUCUUUUUUUUUUUUUCUGUAGCCUAGUUGGAUGGCCAUUACUAUUUUUUUUUUCUUGGUGUAAUCCACUGUGCAAGCUACUGGUUGAUGCAAUUUUUUUUGUAGAAUGAUACAUCCAUAUACACGGUGGAGAUGAGGUGGGCCACAAUUCAAAUGAUCUAGCUAAACGGUUGUCUACUGAUCAGAUGGUUCGGUGUAAUGGGACAUGAUUUGACAGUUUCAAUUGCAGCACUUCAAGCCACAUGUAUAAUGGACACAUUCACACCUA